GGCCCCAUCGUCUAGCGGUUAGGACAUCGGCCUCUCACGCCGGUAACACGGGUUCGAGUCCCGUUGGGGUCACCA
rnacentral:tRNA from 1 species